UCCUUAGCCUCAACCUGUCCUCGCAGCCCGUUUCAGGCAUUCUCCUGGUCUUUUUGAAAAUAAGGAUAUCAAAGAGAGGAGAGAUGAUAGAGAAUAAAAGUCAAGGUUGCAGCGGUGCAAACGGAGCCUGGUGCUCUUUUUCCCUUCUAUGCCGCUGCUCUCUGAGUCACCUAGAAGAUUUGCCACCUGGCAAAACCCUCCUGGAACUAAAAUCUUAGAAUUAGCCAAUAGGGUAAACAAAACAAUAGGAAGCCCUAUUUGACAUGCAGCAGUAGCUAAAAAACUGCUUUCUCACCCCAACCUGCUCUUUUCUUUCCUGCUGGGGAAGGGGGAGGCAACUGUUAACCCAGCAGGGGAGGUGCCUCCGCCCUCUCUUCGCCCCACAUCUCAGGAGAAAGUGCUCCAAGUUUCUCAGCACAGUGGAUGCAACCUGGGGCUCCUGAAGAUCCGGUGAACCGGAAAGGUGCAGUGUUCAAAGUGGAAGGGGGCAGGCAGAGAAUGCCAGGCUCUGAGGCAAGUGAGGGGCUGGGCACAGCAAACAGGGGUGCCAAAGCUAAGGGGUCUCCGCUCAACCUCAUUCCAGGGCUUCACUGAAGU
rnacentral:lncRNA from 1 species